AUGCCAUCGGUACCACGGUGUCCCCCUCACCCCCCUCUGCCACCCCCAGGCCGACAAUACCAAGAAGGUGACAAGGGUCCCUGGAAGUCUCAUGCUGCCAGUGCGAGUGUGGACUGCUGCAACCACUUUGGAGGAAUAUUCAGCAGGUCUACAGAAGCUACAUCACAGGGGAUGCCCCGGCAAUGCCUGGCAGAAACAUCAUGCACGACCCUCUCUGUCCCCCCAUUCCACUCUGAGCUCCAUGGCGGUGCCCUAGCUUCAGCACCGUCCCUGGCCCAGAGGAGCUGCUCAAUAAACCCUUGCUGAGUGACAACCAGGUGGCGCACAAUGAACGGAAGGUGGGGCCCAAAGCCACGGUGGAAGAAGAAUCACGGCCCUCUCUGGUUUACAAGCCCUUUCAAAGCUGCCUGAAGAACCCCAUGAAGAAAGCAGUGGGGAGAGCUCCUGGUAAGGAGCCCCAUUUCCUAGACAAAGAAACUGAGGUCAGAGGGGUUAAGAGCCGUGGCCCAGGUCACGCGGGGAGUGGGUGACCCUCCCCAGCGCACCUCAGCCCCCUGGGGAGGCAGCGCACGGCAUCAGCAGCCACCUCCGCCUCCUCCAGCCCCCAGUCCUUCGGUGCCAGGCAAAUCCCACCCUCUCCGGACGCAACGUGGGCGGCCCCAGCCAUUCAUCUUAUAUUUACCGGGCACCUCUCUAAGGGCAGGGAAAGGGCCCUGAACAAGAUGGGCACGGUCCUGGCCCGUCCAUGGGGCUGCCCCUCUUUGGGAAGAGGGGCAGAUAAUAAGCUGAUACACAAAUGAAUAAAUCAGGUGAGCGCAGAAGGUGGCUAACGCCCUGAGAAAAAUUAAGCAAGGUGAUAUCCAGUGAGUGAGCAAUUAGCAGCUAAUUAGCCUCAUCUCAGACCCUGGAGGAAGAAGGUGAGGACAGAGCUAGUGGGGAAACUCUCCAGAACACCAAACAGCACCGAACAGCACAGUCCACUUGACUCCCACCCCGGAAGCAGGGGCUGAGUGGCUCAAAGAGGGGAGAGGGCACUGGGCUGAGAACGAGGAGGCGCCUCAGACCCCCACCCUGUUCUUAGGCAGUACAGGACCUCAGGAAGCCGUGACUCCCCCCUUAGGACCCCAGAGUCUCCCUCUGGACAGUGGGUGUGGGACAUGGCCAUCCUCUUCUCCAGCUGCUGCCUGCCAAGAUCCUAGGGUGACCCAGCCUCCGGGCUCCCAAGGAGCCCAUCCUGUGUCCUACAGGGGGGCUGGGCAGGACAGGAGGGGAUAUCCUGCCCCCUUUCUGAGGCCAAUUCUCCAAAGGAGAGGGAGCUGGAUUCCUAAAAUGAUUGCCCCUGAUCCAGCAGCCCCUGUAAGGGUUGGGGGUUGGGGGUUGGGGGGGAGAAAAAGGGGGGAGUUCCAUCGGGCAGCUGGGACCCUGGGCUGAGGGCUUCUCAGUAGGAGACCUUGCCUGGGGACAAUGCUCCCUGCUUUGACAGGAGUGAAGGAAUUCUUAGAGAAUGUUCUUCUGUUUUUCCGUCACUCCUUAGAGCCCUGUGAGGCCCGCCCAAGGUGCAGGGAAUGGGAAGACAAUCGGAUCUACCAUCCCUCAUGGUGUCCUCCUCACCGGGGUGGAACGUUCCCACUCAGGACACUGCACUUUGAACAGUCUAGAAGGCUUCUGAGGCUCUUCUCUCCAAGGAGGAUGCAGGAGAGGGAGCAGCAGGCUGGCCUGAGAAAACCCCAGAAGGAAUCCUAAAUGCCCUCAUCGGGCUGGUGGGUAUUCCCAGGAACAACGAUACUGACAGUUAACAGUGACCGAGUGCUUGUCACCAGACCAGUCCCAGUGCUGGCACGUGAGCCCUUUGUUGCCUAAUUUAAUCCUCACAACUCCCUUGAAAUAAAUACACAAUUACCCUAAAAGAUUACAAAGGUAUACCGAGUAUUGUUCUUACUACUUUACACGUAUAGAAACUGAGGCUCUAUCCCUGGCCCUCCUCUGUCCCUGAGUUUUUAAAUUUUCAUGGCCCCUGGGAGGGGGGGUACCUUGAAACACCACACAUGCCAUUCAUGAAGCGCGCCCCACUUUGCAGAACCCCUGUGCCCGGCUGCAGCCUCCCAGCAGCCCUAUAAACUGUAAUGUGUCAUAGUUUGCUUCAUUUUACAGAUGGAAAAACCCCCGAGCCCAGUGAGUGAGAAGGCACACAAACAGGAAGUAGUAGCAGAGGGCAAGGAGAAUCCAAGUGUCAACGUUCUCAGUCCCUGGUUCUUUCCAUGGCCAGACCUGCGGGGGGGGGGGGGGGGGCAAGGGGGACCCCUCCCACCGCCGCCAGCGAGGCUGCCUGCCUGGGGCAAUACCAGAGCACACUGGGCCCUACGUCAGAGGGAUUGCAAUAAAACCACUCCUUUAUGUUUGCACCCAGCCUCCAGGCGCACAGGUCCUUGACCAUCAGCCCAUUUUACAGAUAAGCACGGGGAGGCUGGGGGCGGGGGAAGAGUGGCCCCGCAGCUCACUGCUGGGUGAACAUUCAGACCCAGGUCUCCCAAAGCUGCCCAACAAGACUGGCCACAGCCAGGCUGCAGCUGCUGAAGGUUACAAAGGGGUUCCUCCCCCCAGUUACUGAAGCUGUGGGUACCCCAAGGAACAGAAAAAGCACUCCACCCAUGGGUGACAGCCCACACCCCUAAGGCAAGCAAAAACUAAGGGCAGACAAAACAAAGGGCCGCUCAUAAUUCUCCCAGAUCCUUCGCCGGUGUCACUCUCCCCAAAUACAGAACAGGGCUGGGAGAAUCACAGGCAGCAGGAUGAGCCCUCAACUGGCUACCAGAGCCCCGGGGUCCAGUUCCCACUUGUGAUCUUGGGCAAAUCACAGCCCCCUUCCAAGGAGCCCCUCUCCAAGGAGCUUGUCCAAGAAGGGGGGGGCAGAGGGCGGGGCUGAGGGAUGGGAUGGGAUGCGAAGAGCGGAGUAAGACACCUCUAGUCUCAGAAAAGCAGGGCUGCAGGGAAACGGAAAGGAAUCAGGAGCUUCGCUCUUUCUCUCUCCCCAUGUCCCCCCACCCCACCCCCUUAACCACAAAGGUGCCAGACAGCUUUUGCGAAAAAACUAGUUUGCAAACACACUUCGACUUCUGGGAAGCUGCCCAGCUCCACUCCCUCCC
ensembl:lncRNA